rnacentral:rRNA from 1 species
GUUAUCGGGAUUACUGGGGCGUAAGCGCACGCAGGCGGUCUGUCAAGUCGGAUGUGAAAUCCCCGGGCUCAACCUUGGGAACUGCAUUCGAAACUGGCAGGCUAGAGUCUUGUACCGUGGAGAAGAAUUCCAGGUGUAGCGGUGAAAUGCGUAGAGAUCUGGAGGAAUACCGGUGGCGAAGGCGGCCCCCUGCCCAAAGACUGACGCUCAGGUGCGAAAGCGUGGGGAGCAAACAGGAUUAGAUACCCUGGUAGUCCACGCCGUAAACGAUGUCGACUUGGAGGUUGUGCCCUUGAGGCGUGGCUUCCGGAGCUAACGCGUUAAGUCGACCGCCUGGGGAGUACGGCCGCUUGGUUAAAACUCAAAUGAAUUGACGGGGGCCCGCACAAGCGGUGGAGCAUGUGGUUUAAUUCGAUGCAACGCGAAGUUUUUUACCUACUCUUGACAUCCAGAGAACUUUCCUGAGAUGGAUUGGUGCCCUCGCGAACUCUGAGACAGGUGCUGCAUGGCUGUCGUCAGCUCGUGUUGUGAAAUGUUGGGUUAAGUCCCGCAACGAGCGCAACCCUUAUCCUUUGUUGC